GGGAAUGUGGCUUAAGUAGUAGUGCGCUUGCCUAGCAUGCAUGAGGCACUGAGUUCGAUUCUCAGCACCA
rnacentral:tRNA from 1 species